rnacentral:rRNA from 1 species
UACGAAGGGGGCUAGCGUUGCUCGGAAUCACUGGGCGUAAAGGGUGCGUAGGCGGGUCUUUAAGUCAGGGGUGAAAUCCUGGAGCUCAACUCCAGAACUGCCUUUGAUACUGAAGAUCUUGAGUUCGGGAGAGGUGAGUGGAACUGCGAGUGUAGAGGUGAAAUUCGUAGAUAUUCGCAAGAACACCAGUGGCGAAGGCGGCUCACUGGCCCGAAACUGACGCUGAGGCACGAAAGCCAGGGGAGCAAACGGG